CUGCCGCAGUGUACCUUUUGUCGUUACAUCCCUAACAUGUUUGAAGGAAGUUGCUUAGUUCUAAGAAAGUUGUAAUGCUGCAAAAAUGGAGGGAAAAAACAUGUAAUAUACUUUUGUCAAAGUUAAUAAGUUAAUGCAUGCGAUUUAUCACUAAAAAAGAUGGCAUUAAUUGCGCACUUUAUUUUGACAGCGCCUACUUUGGCGGAAUGUUACCUGGAAUGCAGCACAGCUGUGACGCGGUCAGUGAUCAGGUCAAAGCCUCCGCCAGGAACUUAAAGGCCUGCUGAAAUGAGAUGUUCUUAUUCAAAGGGGGAUAGCAGCUCCAUUCUAUGUGUCAUACUUCAUCAUUUCCCGAUAUUUUUGCUGAAAGGAUUUAGUAGAGAACAUCCACGAUAAAGUUCGCAACUUUUAGUCGCUAAUAAAAGAGCCUUGCCUGCACCAGAAGUAACAGACAAUUCACGAGUUGUGGAGCUCCUCACAUUGUUUACAAUCAUGGCCACGAGCAGCUAGAGCGAUUCGGACCGAGAAAGUGACGAUUUCCCAAUUAAUUUGAGCGAGGAUGAAAGAUUUUUGGAUGAGGAAAGUGAGAGUGAAGAAAAAGAAAAAAAAGUUAAAAAAAAAAAAGAAAAAAAAGACAGGGCAGUGGGAGUGAUUCAAAUGUUAUUAGACACAUUUACUAGGAUGAUUCUGGAAAAUCCCUUAUAUGCUUAUUGUGUUACUAGAGAUUAUAUGGCAGUACCUGAAAGUCGGAGGGGUGUGGCCACAGGUGUGGUGACCGCCAGUGUCUUUGAGGGAAGCCAUGCAGCUGCAGGAGGACGCAAGCUCCACUCAUGACUAAGAAAGAGCAGUAAACACCAAGCGGAGGACUGCUUCACGCUGGCAGAAGAAGACACAAGCUUGGCCUUGGACACCGUCGCUCAACAAGCAGAAGAAAAAGAAGAAAGACUAAAAGAGCAGUGGCAGCAUGCACUAAAGUGGCUUGCAGACAGAACAGGCUCAAUGUUCCUCCUCCUCAAGCAGGUGAUAUAUACCUGAGUAAACAAGACAUGGUGUUUGGAGGCUGCUGAAGAGAAGAAAGAAGACAUUUAUUGACAGCUAAGUUACACACAAAGAUCAACAUUCUGCUGUGAAAACAAAGUCACUUGAACUGAAGAAGUAGUGUUAAUGAGAAGUAGAAAAGCUACAUACAAUCUUCUCAAAGAAAACAAGCAUCACAUCACUAAGUUGUUGGGACUCAUCUUACGAGGGAGGGGGGACAGAAAGAAGAAGAAGAAGUAGUAACUAAAGGCACAUGUACGUUGGUCCACACCUGUCUGCCACCAAAACACCUGUUCACAAAGUACGUCUUCUCAAUUUCACUAAUUAUUCACGCUUCAUCUUCAUUUCACCUCAGGGUUGUCCAAACUGAAAUAUUCUACCUGGGAUGAUGGCAUGUUUGGAAGAUGACCCGGCAGGAAGGACAACUCCACUGAACAGACCCUGACUUUGGACUCUAAUGACAGUUCUUACCAGCGCUAAGGUUUUGUAGCAGCGUGGCUUUAGAUGGUGGACUUGGAGAAGGAGACUUUGAGGUGGUGGUUGCCGCCCAUGUCGUAGUUGUGGAGAUCUAUCAGCACCUGGAUGGCCUCCUCCACUGACGACAUCUGGAUCAGAGCCAUCUUGCGAUCCCUGGAAGGACAGACAACCUUCAUGAGGCAGGAACAGGAACAGGAACAUGAACAUGAACACUCAGCUGGAAGAUGACUGCUUCUUACUGAAAGAACUUGAAGGCCUUGACGGAACCCUCGCUGUUGGAGAACAGCAGACGCAGGUCUUCUUCUCCGAUGCCCUCGCUGCACAAGCAACACAUCACAAUGGAAGACAGCAGGCCCAUACAACAUGUCUUACAUCACAGCAGGCCCAUACAACAUGUCUUACAUCACAGCUGGCCCAUACAACAUGUCUUACAUCAAGAUGUAAGACAUGUUGUAUGGGCCUGCUGUCUUACAUCCUGAUGUAAGAUAGCAGGCCCAUACAACAUGUCGUACAUCCUGAUGUAAGACAGCUGGCCCAUACAACAUGUCUUACAUCCUGAUGUAAGACAGCAGGCCCAUACAACAUGUCGUACAUCCUGAUGUAAGACAGCUGGCCCAUACAACAUGUCGUACAUCCUGAUGUAAGACAGCUGGCCCAUACAACAUGUCGUACAUCCUGAUGUAAGACAGCUGGCCCAUACAACAUGUCGUACAUCCUGAUGUAAGACAGCUGGCCCAUACAACAUGUCGUACAUCCUGAUGUAAGACAGCUGGCCCAUACAACAUGUCGUACAUCCUGAUGUAAGACAGCUGGCCCAUACAACAUGUCGUACAUCCUGAUGUAAGACAGUCUUCUCAGCUUUACAUGUUCACACUUUGCGAUAUUUUAUUAGCCUUUAUCAAGCAUUUCUUCCAUGUUCCUAAGAGCUUAUUGUUAAGUGUUGAUGUUAUUUGACUAUUUUCUCGACAUUGUUUAUUUUCCAUGCUUGUGUUGACAUUUCCUUUCUGCCUUGAUAGUUGAGGGACUAUCAUCACAGGAAGUUACAUUUGAAAUUAAAUCUAUUUUUCUCCACCUCCUUAUUGUCCAUUGGUCAUAAAAAAUAUUGUGUUAGAGACAGCGUUUAUAAACAAAGUACAGUCUAGAAAUAAACAUGGACUAAAUGACUCAUUUCACAAGCUAUACAUCUAUGAAUAAUAUAUGGAACAUAAUUGUCCUUCUAAAAUUGAGUGUGCAGCUUAUAUUCCGGUCUACUCUAUAGUUUACUAUUAGAAUGGACUUAUACUGUCUUUAAGGUGAAGUGGUGCAGUAUUUGUUUUUUUAACAACUAAUAAUCACAACAAUUUGUGACGUUAAACUCAAGUUGAAUGAUGCUGACACACGUGUUACUGGACAGUUUAAUGCUCCUCUGCCUCGGAGGCUUUGUACGUGUUGCUAGGAUGCAAAUAUAAUUGUGUCGGAUGUCUAGCUUGUGUGCUUAGCUGUUGCGUAGCUGCUAGCUCCAAGUAGCCU